UAAUUAAUUUAAAUUCACAAACUAAGGAAACCAUAAUAAGUAUGUUUAUUACUAUUCUUUUUAGAGUAAAAUAAAAAAAAGGUCUUUGAAGUUAUUCUGUAUGAUGUUGUCUGAUCCCCAAACUCUCAAAAUGCUUGCAUUGUGAGGUUAGAGAAAUUGUCCUUGUAUGGAAUGUAAGUCCCAAGCCCUUAUAAUGCUACUUUCAUCCACAGGACUUGUCACGUGCUGUCAUCCAGUUCUAAAUGAGCCCUAACACACUAUACACCCAUAUGUGGCAUGUCACAAUUGAUCCAUUUGUGGUUCAGUAUUGAUGAGUAGUCUAACGCGAGGUUAUGUAUAUCACACAUAUUGGGCUGCUGCACUAUAUCCGAGUGAAGAGAGUGGGAGAGGGGGAUAUCGAGAUGGUGGUCCAAAGGUCAACAUAUAUGUGUGGUGCCCAUAGAUAGAAUCCAAUAGUAUAGAUAUUAUGAGACAUAUAGGUAGCAUUUGGUUGGGAGAUAAGGUCGGAUGGAAGAAUGAUCUUGUCUCUGGUUUGAGGGAUGCAGUGACCCUAUUUUCUUUUUGGUUGGAAAGCGAUGGGAACAAUUUGUUUUCUAUUUGGUCUUAGAUAUAAUAAGUCAAAUCAUGUGGGGCCCAUUUGGCAGUUUUAAUUCUCUUUUUCUUCCUCCUCUCCUUACCUCGUUCCUGAACUGUAGCCACCCAAAGGACUCGCAAGUGCGACGCCCUCUGCCUCCUCCUGUUGAGUCGGCCAUGGAUUAUGCCACUAGCUUCAUGUGUAGCCACCCAAAGGACUCGCACACGGUGGCUGCUCAAAGGUUGCACGACGGCGGCCUCUGAGCUCACAUGUGGAGGCUCCUUGUAUCUCGGCACAGUGGUGGCCCCCCAAGGUCACGCAAGACGGCAAUCUCCCGAGCUCGCGCGAUGGUGGCCCCCUGUGCUCCUCGUCUUCAUUGACCUCCCCUAUGUGCACCUCCUCUUAUCUUCUUCCUCACCAGCGAGCGGGCUUGUCCCACCUUAGGCGACCCCCUGUUCGUCAAAUUUCUGCACAAGCACGCAUGUGAGCAACUGUCGUGGUCGUGUAGCCACCAUGCUUGCGCAGACAAAUAGAAUUGGGGUACUUAAAUAGUUUAAGGAUCUAAAUGUACAGUUUUAUAUUUAGUGAUCUGAUAGAAGAUGCAGUAGUUUAGAGACUAUGGGUGUAACUUGAUCUAUGACAAUGGUUGGAAUCGCUUCCAAUCGCCUCCCAUCGCCUCCGCUAAAAACUUUUUUGUUGAUUUAAUUUGUGGAAGGGUAAUAACAUCAUUGUACAAGGUUCUCUCAAACCCCAACCCCUAUUAUCGGCAGCUACGGCUCCCUGUAACACGCAUUGAUGGACGCAGACGGGUGGAACUCAAAGAAGAUUAAAAAAAACUUAAGAAGAAGAUUUUUAUCUAACUAGCUAUAGUACUUGAAUCAUAUAUCCUAUCUAUGUUACUCAAAAUAUUACUUCAAACUAAGAAAGACAAUACAGCUUAGAAUAUUAAUUAUUUUAUAACAAAUUUUGAAACUAAACCAACCGCAUUUCUUGGGAGUAGACUAUACAGCUUUCAACCGUUUAUUUGUAUUGGAAUGCACGAGGAUAUUACAUGCUGAGUUAUUAGUGUAGUGUACUGGCACAGUAGCGUAUAUAUGGAUGUGUGUCACUUGUAAAGGAAACAAUUAUUUCUAAUAUUUUUGCGUGGCCAUACGUACGUUAGUGCGCACCUUGUAAUGAGCAUUCUUCCUUAAUGUUGAGUUUUGUUUGCACGAGCACUGUAGCUUUAUUACACAGAAUUUCUAUCGACUAGUGCAUCAACCCAUGUUCUGGCAUGGGCUUGAAUUUUAUGAGAUAUAAGUAUUAAGUAUUGUUCUGCUCAUUUCAAAUUAUAAACCAUUUUGGCUAUUAAAGAUAUAUUAUUUUUUAUUCUACCUGAUCAGUAUAUCUAAGUGUAUAAAAGGAACUAUAUACUUUCGAAACAUGUUAUAACUUGAAAUGCGCGGAGUAGAUCUGAAUAAUAAUGAAAUACUCAUAAAUUAUAUGUUUUUCUCUUUGUCUAAUCUUUAACAUAAUAGACAUGAUAGAUACUCUAUAGUCUAUAUCUAGUUAUCAUAAACUUAUUAGUUACUAUUUUUUCAACAAACUAAUCUAUGUAUUUUUAUCUAUAUUACAUUAAAUAUGCAAUUACUUUGAAACCUUACCAUUAAUCACGGUGGCUCUUGUUUUGUUAUGUAUCAAAUUUUUUAUUUUCAAAUUUUAUUCUUAUUGACUGCGACAGAUUUAUUUUUUCUCUCCUUAAGUUAAGUUGAACCCCUUAUAUAUGCUUAUUGUAUCUUUCAUUAACUAUUCUUUUUGUAUUUUUGAAAUAAGAAUUUUAGGACAUAGUUUACAUUCUUAGGAACACAAUAGCAUAAGACAUCAUUUGAAACAUGCACCAUAUUGCUUAAGAUAAGCCACAGAGCUUGAAGUGAGAUCACAAACAGGAUAUAGUGCUAACCUCAAGAGAAUUUUAAUACCUAAAUCUUAUAAUGAUUGACUGAUUGACUUUUUACUCUAAACUAUUCUUAAAAGGUUAGGAAAAUAUAGCCACUAGUGGUCUACCACACUUCUCGAGAUGAUUGAGUUUUCCUAUCAAGGAAUUAUGUUUACAAAUAUGGUUAUAGUAGACAUGUCAAACAUUUUAGUUAAAGUACGUAAAUAUAUCUAAAGUAACAAUCUAUAUCAAUUAUAUGUUAUGGUUACUAAUAUGGCUUGAAAUUUUUUUAUAUUGAUAAGGAAAUAACUUUUUUUGUGAUUAAACAUAACAUAUUUAUUCUAUUGCUCAUGCAUGAUGGCAUUACGUGUAUAUUUACUUUAAUCAAAUCUUACUAUACGUAUUUUAUGAGAAUUUCUAGGAUCUAUCUUUUGUUUUCCUGUCAAGUCUUGUGACGAUUAACAUGCAAGCUAUAGAAGAAACGUCUUGUUAGAAUUUAUAGUAUUUAUCUUUUUUUUUUCUAGUGUGAUUUGUAUUUAGUUGAAAACUAAACUUAAGAUAUAUGAACUCUUGAUACAACUCUUUUUUGACAUUGCAAAUCUACAUUUAUCUUUUAACUUUUAAUUAAAUUGUUGCAAUUUCUUCAAAUGUUAAUUAGAAAUUCUGGUAUUCUUUAUAUUUUAUUCAAAAAACAUUUUUUAUUAUAACGAGUAUAGGUUUCCACAUAUGCUAAAAUUUGGCUUGCAUUGUGACACUAAACAUGUUCAAUUUAUUAUGUCAUACGAUUAUAUGUGUUGUAUUAUUUAUAUAUCAUAGAGUGAAUAUUGAUAUGACAUAAUGUUUCAGUAAAAACAUAUAUACUUGUUUAAAAUGAUAAUUAUUGAAUUUAUUAUCACGAAGUAUAGAUAUAAAGUGUUAUUGCAACAUCGUUUGCUAUGUGAACAUUUUCCAUGUUUCAUAACUUUUAAAAUAAAUGUUAUCCAAAUUUAUACAUGUUUAUUUGAUAUACAUGGUGCAACAUUGCAUUUAGUUAUUUUAUUUCACGAUUAUUGAAUUAUGAAACUUAGAAAUAUAUACAUGUACCAUACUUUUUGUUAAUAUUGAUAUUUUUAAUAUUAUAUAUUACUAUUUACACGUCAAUUUUAGAUAUGUUUUGUUUAUCUUCAAUUAUGGCUAAGGUACAUACAAAUAUAAAGUUAAUGCCUUGCAUUAUAUUUCACAAAGACAUAAAUGGAUAGGUUCAACACGAACAUAUAAUAUUAAUUUGCAUUAUUUUUCAUAAUGAUAAAGGUGGAGAAUUUAUAAUUAGGAGGCAUUUUAAAUUAUGUUCCAUAAGCGUAUAUUGGGUAGUUUAGGUACAAAGUUAGAAUAUUAUUUUGUAUUAUCUUUCACAAUGACAAAAGCAAGGUAAUUUAGACACAAUUUUAGGGGUUUAUUUAAAUUAUGUUUCAUAAUCGCCAAGGUGGGUAAUUUGGAUGAAAAAUCAGGGAGUGAUUUUGAAUUAUUUUUUAUGAUGACAUACAUGGGUAAUUUAUAUACAAAUAUAGAGGGUUAUUUUGAAUUAUCUUUUGUAAUGUCACAAUUGGGUAAAUUAAAUGCAAAAUUAGGGGUUACUUUAUUGUAUUUUCAUAAUGGCAGUAGUGGGUAAUGUUUUAUAAACUAUAAUAGAUGCAAUGGCUAUUAUCACUGACGAUAUUAGAGUUUAUCAAAUGAAAGGCUAGUUGUUUUUGAUUAUUGUCAUAAUUUGGAGGAUUUUGUUGUGUCUCUGUUGGGGUCUCUAAUUAGAAUUUAUAGGAUUUAUCUUUUUUUCUAGUGUCUGGUGAGAAUUAACGUGGUAUCUCUGUUGGGGCUUGUAAUAAUAAGAUUGGUCACAGCAGGCAGUGAAUCAUUCAGGCGGGUUCAGAGUUUAUUAGCUGAGAAUAUGUCGUGCAGAAUAAUAGUGCUGAUUUUGCUUCAGAUUAGGAAUCUCCGUACUUCUAUAGGUCAUAGGAGCAACGAAGGGGAAAUUCGUCAUGAACAUAGCUAUACUUUCUUACUUUUGUAUCCCAAGAAACACUCGUGCUUUUUUCUUUCCUUUUACUUAGGCCUUAUUUAGUUCACUUCAAAAACCAUAAAAUUUUCAAGAUUUCCCAUCACAUCGAAUAUUGCGGGACGUGCAUAGAGCAUUAAAUAUAAAUGGAAACAAAAACUAAUUGUACAGUUUGCCUUUAAAUUGCGAGACGAAUCUUUUAAUCUUAGUUACUCCAUGAUUGGACAAUGUUUGUCAAAUAAAAACGAAAUUGCUACAGUAUCAAAAUCUAAAAACUUUUUGAAUCUAAACAAUGCCUUAGUUGCAUAUGCAUAAAGUAUAAUAUAAAAAAGGAUGAUAAAAAAUUGUGUGCUAGAGGUCGCAUACGUUUCUUCUUGAUGUGCUUUGCAUUUGUAGCAUAUCACAACACUGCACGGUAAAUUAUUUUUUGUCUAAUUGGCCUGAAAUUCUUGCAGGCUGUCAGAGAUGUGAAUGAUGAGCCGCAGGUUGAAAAUUUAAAGGAUAUUGGCUUGAUACUUGUAAAAAAAUGUGAUGGUUUACCUCUUGGGAUCAAAGUAAUGGGAGGUCUCCUGAGUCGGAAAAGGAUAACACGAACCGACUGGCAAAAGGUCUUAGAUGAUUCUCUAUGGUCAGUAUCACAAAUGCCUCAAGAGCUAAAUUAUGCAGUAUAUCUUAGCUAUGAAGAUCUAGACCCUUGUUUGAAGCCUUGCUUUUUGCACUACUCCCUCCUUCCAAGGGGCAGAUUGUUUUAUGAUUAUGACAUUGUUGCCAUGUGGAUUAGUGAAGGAUUUGUUCAUGGAAUUUCACGUGACUUAGAAGACAUAGGAAGGGAAUACUAUGACGAGUUAAUACAGCGGAACCUUAUUGAGCCAGAUAUGAAGUUUAUUGAUCAAAGUGUUUGCAACAUGCAUGAUGUUGUCCGGUCCUUUGCUCAGAACAUGUUCCGAGACGAAGCACUCAUAACUCACAAUAGUAGAAUUGGGAUUGACAAGCUUAAAGCACAAAAGUUUAUUCGGUUAUCUCUCGAAAGCAAACAAUCGGAACAACCUGAUUUGGAGUGGUGUUCUCUACAAACACAAAUGUCACUGAGAACAAUGAUUUUAUUUGGUAAUAUAAAGAUUCAACCAGGUGAUUCAUUUCAUUCUUUUUCAAGUCUCCGAACACUACACUUGGACAGUGUAAAUAUUGUUGCAACACCCAAAUCUUUGUAUCAGCUGAAACAUCUGAGGUAUCUGUCAAUAGGAAAUAGUAAUAUAUCUAAGUUAUCAGAAGACAUUGGCAAGUUGAAAUUCUUGCAGUACAUUAGCCUUUCCGAUUGUCAGAGUUUGACCAAGCUUCCCAGUAGCAUCGGGGUGCUACAAGACUUGAGAUUUCUCAGUCUUCUCAGAACAAAUAUAAGUGUUGUACCAAGGGAGUUUUGUGGUCUAACUUCUUUGAGGAAAUUAUACGGAUUUCCAGCCCACAUGGACUGUGAUCACUGUAGUUUGGAGGAACUAGGGUCUCUCUCCCAGCUAACUGAACUUGAUAUCAGUUUCUUGGAGAAUGUAGCUUCUUCCUCAUCUGCUAUAGAGGCCAAACUUGGUGGAAAGAAGCGCCUAAGGUAUCUCUCACUUCAUUGCACCAGUAGACUUGGAGAUGAUGGCCUAUUGGUAAAAAAGGAAGAAGGGAUCUCUGAGAAAGCGAAGAGACAAAUCGAGGAGGUCUUUGAUGAGCUCUGCCCUCCGCAUGGCUUAGAACACCUUUCAGUCAACGGGUAUUUUGGUGAGCGGCUCCCAGGUUGGAUGAUGCCAGCAGCAGCAUAUAUGCCGCUUAGGAGCUUGAGGACUCUAAUGAUGGAUGACUUGGCCUGCUGCACGGAGCUUCCUAGUGGCAUGAGUCAGCUACCCUGCUUGGAGCUUCUGCAGAUUGUUCGUGCCCCGGCCAUCAAGUGUGUUCGCCUUGAAUGCCUACAACCAAACAAUCAAGUAGGUGUUGCGUUUCCCAGUCUACAGAAGCUGCGUUUUGUGGGAAUGUUCGAAUGGGAGGAAUGGGUGUGGGAGGAACAAGUGAAAGGCAUGCCUAUCUUGGAGUUGCUUAAACUGAAAAUGUGCAAGUUGAGGCGUGUGCCACCAGGCCUGGCCUUCCACGCAAGGGCUUUGAAGAAUUUAUAUAUAUAUGAUGUGAAGCAUCUAAGCUCUUUGGAGAACUUUGCUUCUGUGGUCCACCUCGAUGUGUUUAGAAACACUCACCUGGAGAGGAUCAGUAAUCUACCAAAACUGCAGAAGCUUGUCAUUCUCAUGUGCCCAAAGCUGAAGGUAGUGGAUGGCAUGCCUGCACUCCAGAGACUCGAACUGGGGGAUUAUGACAUGGAAACAGUCCCUAGGUAUCUGCAGGAUGUAAACCCAAGACAUUUGCUGCUGGAUUGUUCCUUAUCGCUGCUCACGUGUAUAGCAGCAGGAAAAUCUGGUCCUGAAUGGGAUAAGUUUCGCCAUAUCCAGCAAGUCAAAGCCUAUGCAAAUGAAGAAGGCUGUCCAAGGAAGUGGUAUGUGCUCUACACAAGGAACCCUUACCGCUUCGAGACAAAUAUCAGCCGCUCUGCUAUUGCCCAAGGUAAAUUAACACAGCCGCCUUCCAAUGUAAUUUAUUUUUUGGCACUCUGUUUUCCUCGGUUUCCUUCAAUCAGUUCAAUUCAUCUUCUGCAGCUCACGGACGCCGCAUAUGGCUUGCUUACUCGGAAACAUGUCCCAUUGAAGAUGAGUGGCCCACAGGAGGACACACGUAUGUAGAAAAACGUAUGCCCCUCUGCGUACGCUUCAGGUAAAAAAGUUGGCUACACGUUGAUUGCUUCCCUCUGUUUCAGUAAUUGUGCAUGCUUACACCUCCUUGACACGUGAUUAAUUGAACAUGGCAAGUUCUUUACCAUUUCAUUUCGUCCGUGCAACGUAUUUUUGCAACAUGUGCAGGUGCAACGCCUAUCGCCACUUGAAUGGCUGGUUUGAUGAAGCGUGCCUGCACUGCCAUGAAGCCGACAACAUCGCUUCCCCAUCUGAUCAGUGGACCCAAGGAGAAGUGCUUUCAGCCCGUAUAAAGACUGUUUGGGCAUGAGUGGAGGAAACGUCUUUAGUUUAGUGUGAGUAUGUGCAUCUUGGCUAUUCCUUGAUCUGCUUCUGUACCUUGUGUAUAAGAUCCUCAGCUUGUGUAUGUUCAUUUUACUGCUUUUUAGGGGCUUGUGUUCGAUCUUAUACUGUAACAUCUAGAAUACGUUUAUUGCGUUAGAAGUGUAAAGUGGUAUAAUAAUAAUAAUUGUAAUUUUAUCCAUCACUCAAAUGAAUGAUCAGAGAUUUUAGAUGCGUAGAGCUCGUCGAAUGCUUUCAGUUGCACUACUCAUAUGUAUUGUUUGGAAUUUGGAUCAUGGAGAUAUAAAUUUCAGAAGUUUUAAGAAAGAAAAAAUAAACAGGACCUUUUACUGUAGUGUGACGCGUGGUGGCCUUUUAUAUCCGCUCCAAGGCCUUUAGGUUCCAUCCAUAGCUUUUCAUAUUCAGGAUAAAAAAAAGAGGAGAGGGGAGAAAAGAGAAAGGAGAAGGGAGAAGGGGAGGAUAGGGCCUAGGGUUUUGCCGCCGUCGUAGCCGCCGCCGCCGCUGUCGGUCAUCCGUGGUGGUCGUUCUUCCUUCCGUGGAAAAUACGGUUUGGUUCUACCUUGUAUCUUGGCUGUUCCAUUGAUCUACCAUGUCCCUUUUACUGUCCAUGAGGGCUUAGCCAUGUUUGGCGUAGAUCGGAAUAACAAGGCUUUUAUGGCGGCAAGGAUCGUGGCGAGUUGGAUCGGAGAUAAUGGAAAGGUGAAGAGGCGGAGAAGAAGGAGUAGACGCCAGGAGUUUCGGCGUCGUGCUCGCUGUGGUUCUCUAGGUGAGAAGCCAAAUAUUAAUCCCCUUCAUCUGAUCAAGUUUUGCGGAUUAAAUCGCUUAUUUGGGAUUGGGUUUAGUGGAGAAAUUCUUGAAGUCAUUUUCGUUCAUGUCCUGAAAUUCUCGUCAGACUGAGCAGUCACUGUUCAUCGUAAUGUUAGGGCAUUUUAGAGGCUUUAAUAAUUUUUGAGCCUGUGGACAAAGUUGUAGAGGACUUCAAUAUCUUUCUUUAGACGCCAAGAACUCUGUCAGAGCAGUUAUAAUUUGUGAGAUAUCGAGUUUUCAAUCUGACUGUUUUCCAGUGACGAAAAUCUGGACAGUUUUGGAUCUAAACAGUUUUUGACCCUGUUAAUGAAAUAAUUAGGUCUUUGAUUAUUAACAAAUGUUUUAGGAUUUUUGUUAAGCUUUCUAUAUUGGUAAAGUUUGUAACUUUUGAAUAAGUAUAUCACCAGUUAUGAAUUUUUGAAGUUUGAUGUUCUGUUUUGAAGGUCAGAAAUAUUCAGUUGUGUUCUAUGGUUAAUUAUACCAUCUUGCAGAUCUCUGAUGCAAAACCUUACAAUACAAAAGUUGUAUAUAACAGAGUUUUACAUGAUCUGAUAAAUUAUGGUAAUUUUUGGAUGAGUAUUCUGAAGUAUAUGAAAAAGAGAAGAGUCGGUGCUGCUGUCUUGAUCGGUAGCGCAAACGGUAGAGGCUUGAAUGUCGGGUUUGGGGCGCAUUAGUGCGUAUUUGUUCUUACUCUUGCUUGUAUGUUGGUGUAUGUACUGAGUAGUAUUUGUGAUCAGGUGGUAGCACUUCGGAACAUCGCUAGUGUUUUUGUUCUCCUUCGGUAAAGAGGCAAGUGAAUGUAGCGGUGGUUUGCUACCGUUUUGGCUUGUUAUUUUUAUCACCUACAGUUUAUUGUCUAUAAGAAUGUCAUCCCUCUCAUAUCUAAAAUUUAUGAUUUUGGUAUAUUUAGUCUUAGUUAAAUUGUGGUCUUAUUUAAGUAUUUAUGGUGAUGGUAUUAUUUUAUAUUGUUAUUUGUGGCUAGCCCACAAACCUGAAUUUGAAGUCGGAGUAUCAUUGGUGAUUUAUUAAUUUUAUUGCAACAUACCAAGUGCAUUGCAUCAUUCAUUGGCAUUGGAAGUUAUGUCUUGACCUAUGGUCAUGACUGUACCGGUAUGCAUCAUGGGAUGCAGCUCCACACCUUAUUGGGUGUGCAGGCAGGAGACAUAUGCAUUGCAUUCAUAUGCAUUCAUGAGAAGUAUGUUAUUGAAGAGAUUUUAUCCACGUUAUUAUGAAGCUCUGUAUUAUUGGCUAUGUUCCAAAUUGGAAGACUGUUACUUUUAGUAUGAUAUUAUGUCAAUUGAGAACAUCAUAUUAAAUUGAUGUUAAUUCAAAUUGUGGUUUCAAUAGCUUGUCAAAACAAGUUCGCUUGCUGAGAUGUUUCGUCUCACCCUUGCUUUACUCAAUCCAGGUACUUGAUGCUUACUUGGAAGGGAAGAGACUUAGCUGCACGUCACACACGUAUUCAUUUAGAGACCUUGUGUUUUAAUAAAUAAUAAUUUGGUUUGCUUAUUGGUUUUGAAGGCGGUUGUUAAAGUGUGGGUGUUAAACUUAAUUCUUGUUGAAGUAACUUAUUUGCGUUAGGAUGUUCAUUAAUCCUAGUUUGGUAUUUUAGUAAUUUUUUUUUAUAUUUUAUUCUUCCGCUUGCUAUAAAUACAAAGAAGAUACUGUCAAAUUGUUUAUGGUUGUGUGCAGCUGUUGUUUGUGUAGUCUAGUAGCAUCCCGGUGUAUUUGUGGUUUUCGGGGUGUUACAUAUACAGUAUGGACACAUGCCACAUUGCAGAAAUAAAUGUUCUAUCUGCUACUGAACAUGUACACAGAUUGCAAAAUUAUAUGUUCUGUAAUUUCACUAUUUUAUCAGGCUUACGAUAGUGAAUGGUAAACUGGUUGUGAUGUCAUCAAUGGACUCAUGGCACACUGCAAAUACAUAUGUGUUACAUUUCUUAUGAACUUUUAUGUUUUUUUAUUCUGGAUUGGAGCAUGCUCGCACUCCAAAUCCUCCAAUAGCCCUUUGCUCAGUGGAGACAAAUCUAUAACCAGGUGUGCCCGGAGGAUAUCCCAGCUGCCCGUAACCAAAUUCCUCCAAUUACUAGUUUCCUGGGCUCCCUGGAAAUACCAGAAUAUUGUGGUGUCCAACCACCUCCUGCUGUCAAUGAGAAAGCUGGCACCUUCGAUAUCACUCUUGCGAUCUUGGCGAGCAGGUCACUGACAUCUUGGUGGGCACCAUUAGUUUUUGUUUUUAUUUAAAUUUAAUGCUAUAUACAUGUACCGUAAGAUUCGAUAUGACGAAAAAUCUUAAAAAAAUACAAAUUUUUUUUGGGAAGCCCUAGGCACCCCAAACCAGGUGAGGUCACACGGGCCUAUGCGAGAUCCGGCGUGCCAGCAAACUGGCUCCUAACAGAGUGUUCGAUGACAGAAUAAUUCCCAUCCCCGCCAAUACCAGUCCUAUCCAUGAAAAGGCGAAGAAGGCCCACGUCGGCAUGCUCUGUCGCUAGUCCCCACUAGCGCCUUCUGCGGGUCCCGUCACCAGUCCUCGCUGAUCGGUCUCUCAUCUUCUCCACCGGGACCCCUCGCCGCCGUCUCCUCUGCCUCUCAUCUUCUGCAACAACGGGUAGGCAAAGAGGUGGCAUGUGUGGCUCGCCGGCCGUUGAGCCGAGGCAGAGCGCGCGUCUCGGCAUCAAAGACAAAGGAUGCACGGGAGUCAAUUGGAAGUCGAUGCAGGAGGAGCGUAGGAGAGAGAAGGCACUGUGCUAUAUGUUUUUUUUUUGUUAUUUAUGGUGCAUUGUUGGUGAGCGUGAUGAGUCCUAUCCUACAAUGAGACUUAUGAGCAGUUUGGGAGUGUACCCAAACUAAUUUUGGGUUGGGUUGAAGUGAACCCAUCACGCCUUUGGGUAGAAGGACAGGGUUAUCCCAUAUUUUUUAUUUGGUUGGAGAUAAACUGUGUCGGGGUUUGGAUUCAUGACACGUGGGUCCUGCAUGUCAGCCUUCUAUCAAUUCUUCUCCCAUGGGUCAUCCUUUGAUCGUCCCUGACACCGCCGCUCUCUGCUCCCACACUAUCGUGGCCCUCUACAACCAAUGCAUCUCGCUCGCGCAGCUCUCUUGGCUUGCCUGCGCAUGGGCACAAUUGCCACGUCUGGCCAUAGAAGAGACCGUGUUCCGACUAUCGGAUCCCUACGUCCAGCAAUGGUUGUUGUUUAUAUUCAAUUCGAGAGCACCCAAAUCAGGGGUUACAAUGAAAGAGAGUGAAUCGACACGAGAUCACUCGGUGCUAUCAAGCCUCGUUGGUGGCGAGGAAGAAGAAAUGUUCCCCUCUCUCACUGGAUUGCUAACCAUGCCUACAAAAAGGAUGGAUACAAAACUCCCCGAUUUCUAGGAAGCCCCUACAAUCGAUUUUCAAGCCGCCUCUACAAAUCAAUUUUCAGAAAUCAUGCGAUUUUAGGCUAAAAAAUAGGAACAAAAAGUGGCACCAUUGGUCCACCAACCCUUCCCCUCACACAUAUCUUCCUCUACCACUGCACCCUACACUCAAUGUGUCUAUAACCUAUUUUUGGCUUGCAGCAUAAGCCACAAUAUUUUUUGUACACUUUGUGGCCGACGGGAUUUGAACCCAUGACCUUCCCCUCACAUGUAUCCUCUUCUACCACUACACCUCACACUUAAUCUGUCUAUAAUCCAUUUUUGCACACUUCGUGGCCGAUGAAAUUCGAACCCAUGACAACCCUCCCCCCGCCUAGCACGUAUCCUCCUGUAUCACCUCACACUCAAUGUUUUUAUAAUCCAUUUUUGCUUCCCAAAAUAUUAUACCGAGCAUAAAUUGAUUGUCUGAGGCCCUAAACGAUUUCAUAUGAACAAGUUAUCAACUAUAAAGUUUCAUAACUUUUUUAUAUCUAUAACUUUCAUGUUGGUAAUUUUUCCAUCUGAGAUCGUUUCAAAAAUUUGAAUUUAAAAUUUACAAGAUUCAAACGUAAUUUUUCAUGAUAAGAUGAUAGCAAAUGAAAAAGCUAUCAACUAGAAAGUUUCAUAACUUUUCGAAAUCUACAACUUUCAAUUUUGCUAUUUGUCCAUCCGCGAUCGUUUAAAAAAUCAUAAUUUGAAAUUUUGAAAAUUUAAGCAUAGUUUUCUUGACAACAUGAUUUCGAUAACAAGUUAGUCAUCACCGAGUUCAUAUGAAGCCAACGGUCUGGCUUCCACGAUGGAUUUGUGGACCGAAGCAGACCGGCGUUAGACAUGUAGAUAUUAUGAGACUCGAAAUAGACGUCUUGCUAUUGAUGGAAAUAUCGCCUACCGCUGAAAGCACAACAACAUUAAAUCCCUAAAGUAUUUACUCCCAGGAGUUGAAAGAACUACUAAGGCCUUUGUAAACCACUAGGCUACAGACCUUUGUUUCUGUAAACAUGCAUGCUUACACCUCCUUGACACUAGAUCAAUCGGACAUGGCAAAAACGAGAUAAACUUUUUAUACAGUUUAUUUGUAAAUCGCGAGAUAAACUUUUUAAGUCUAGUUAGUCCAUGAUUGGACAAUAUUUACCAAAUAAAAACGAAAGUGCUACAAAACCAAAAAAAUUUAGGCACUAAACAAGGCCUGACUGUUAGAACACCCAUGGUCACUUGGUUCUGUAGUUUGACGAAGGCUGCCUGCACUGCCGUGAAGGCGACGGCAUCGAUUCCCCAUCAGAUCAGUGGGCAGAAGCAGCAGUGUAUUCUGGGUGUACACAGAUUAUUAUGCAUGCAUUUUGGGAAUUAUCGUUGUUCUGCAUCUGUACCUUGUGCUCGUAGGAGCACAAAACAGAGCUUGUUCUGUUUUCAGACAUUGUUCACUCUGCUUUCUUGAUGCUCCUCAAGUUGCUGUACCCAAGCCAAACUAGCAUACGAAUUAGCGGUCUCAUCCCAGCCAUCAAUCAAAUGCCCAUCGCCCACUUAGCAAGUCUUCCUGUUUGCUACCAACGGGGGCUUCACAUCUACCGUCGGUAUUAUUAUUUCCUCAUUCAAUCUCCUCCGUUAAACAAGUCAAAAUUCCCUUAUAUAUAGCAGCAAAGAAAUGGACGAAUAUUGGUAUCUUUUAUGACGAGAGCUGAUUGUGACAUCCAUCCAUUAUUAUUAUAUUAGCCUGCCGUGGAGCAUGCAUGGACGGACGACGCCACAGUAGACUGAACUGCAACGUCUGUUGAACACAACGUCUGUCUGUUGCAUGAUGAUGCUGAUGAUGGCUCACCCUGUUGAACCGUGGAAGCAAGUUCGGACUGAACUGCAGCAGCAAUUUACAAGCCCGUUUUGAUCGCGUGUGUUGGAAUGGAACCGCUCGUGCCCAGGCUCUGGAUGGAUGGUUUUCGGCUUCCCUGUGUCUCGCUCGCACUGCUACCAUCAUCUCGUGACUCAAACAUCAUGUAUGCCUGGCCUUGUUUAGUUCCUAAAAAAUUUUGCAAAAUUUUUCAGAUUCUCCGUCACAUCAAAUCUUUAGACGCAUACAUGAAGUAUUAAAUAUAGAUGAAAAUAAAACUAAUUGCACAGUUUGGUCGAAAUUGAUGAGAUGAAUCUUUUAAGUCUAGGUAGUACAUAAUUAGAUAAUAUUUGUCAAAUACAAACGAAAGUGUUACUAUUCCAAUUUUGUAAAAAAAUUUGGAACUAAACAAGGCCAACUUUCAUCUACGUUCCAGUGCUAGAUGGCUCCCCACACUAACUUGGCAUAAGUUGGCCAUACAUCAUUACAUUAUUUAAUUUACAGAGGAUAGACAUUGACCAAGGCUAGAGCCUCGCAUAGUCAGGGGUCACCUUCAUCCAACAAACACGCUGAGUCAGAUUUGUCGCGAUCAUUUUGGAAUAUAUAAUCCCAAAGCAUCUGAUUCCACUACUAAAGCUGAUGAUUCUUAUAAUAUAUUUUUUAUGAAAAAAUAAAAAAACGCAGGAAGUGGCCUACAUUGAAUGCACAAAAUAUUGUUUCCACACAGUACAAAGAUAGAUUGCACAAUCGUCUUUGUGCCUGCUUGGAUUCCACCACUAAUCGAACGAAGCUGCCUGGCACUUUCCUUCUCACCUUGCACUGUCACCACACGACCCACUCCAACCACCACCUUCUUCCCUGAAUCAUCACCAUUUUCCUUCCCAGCUUCAAGCAGCCAAACGGAAGACACCAACCAGCUACUGCGAUUCUUGCGGACAACUUGACUCCAUGCAUGUUGCUGCUCAACCUUUCAUCACUAACGGGCAUGCCACAAUCCAGCAGUAGCAUCUGGUUGGUCAGGUCGGCGAUGUCCAUGCUGAUUCCUGCCUAGCCAUUGACCAAUAAUACAUCCUGUUGUUGCAACGCCUCUCCGCUUCCGGCCAUUGCUCAGCUCAUCGGACUCAGGUUUGUUUCCUUAACCGUUACGUUUCUGCAGUGGCUUAUGCUUAGCAAGAUCUGCCCAUAUAGCUACUGCCCCCAGUGACCCACCGGCACGGCACAGUCCAGCAGUAGUAUAAGGUGGGUCAGGUCGAAGAUGUCCAUACUGAUACCUGUCUAACCAUUAACUAAGAUCGAGAUCCUACUCCACGACCAAGCUAGAACGAACAACAGUGGCACUGCCUCACCAAUUCUGGCCAUUGCACAGCUCGUCAACUUGAGGUUUGUUUCCUUAACCGUUACGUUUCUGCAGCUAGUUGUGCACAGAUAGUGCCCACUGUGUUGUAAUUGUUAUAUGUCUCUGCAGCUGCUUAUGAGUAUCUAGAUCUGUGUAUAUAGUUGCCACUGUCAUGUACUUGUAUCAAUAAUGAACGAGAAGUCAGUACUAGUGCCGCGAUGGCUGCAUGUACAGAUGGCAGAUGAUUGAAUCUUUGUUGUAUAAAAUUGAAAUGCAGUGUUGAAAUUAACAUCUGUUCUAAUUUCGUUACAGCAAAAACGGAAGUUCCCAAUCAUGGCCGGUGUCCUAGAUGCUUUGGCAUCCUACAUCCAAAACAUGCUUCUGCAGAUGGCGGCAGAAGAGGUGCAUAUGUUGCUUGGGGUGUCCGGUGAGAUUGACAACAUGGACAUCAAGCUUCGGGAUCUAAAGAACAUCCUUGCUGAUGCUGAUAGGAGGAACAUCACUGACAAAAGCGUCCUAGCAUGGGGGAUAGAGCUAAGGAAUGCUAUGUAUGAUGCCACUGAUAUCCUCGACCUUUGCAAGCUCAAGGCUAUGGAGCAAGGCCAAAGGCAUGAUGCCGGAUGCUUCAACCCGUUGCUCUUCUGCAUACGGAAUCCCCUACAUGCCCACGAUAUUGGAAGCCGCAUCAAGAACCUUAACAAGAGGCUAGACGACAUCAAGGCACGUGGUGCAUCAUUCAACUUCCUGAACCUUAGUACUUAUGAGGAUCGUGGAAGAAAUGUGAUAUCAUAUGGUUCUAGUACCCGUGAGACAUCGGGGGGCCUUGUUGAGUCUGGUUUGGUUGGUGAGAAGAUUGAAGAGGACACAAUAAAUCUUGUGGAGAUGCUAACAAAGAAGUAUCCUACCGACGACAACAAAUCCAACAAAAUAAUGGUUUUCUCUAUUGUGGGAGCUGGUGGGAUUGGUAAAACCACCCUUGCUCAAAAGAUCUUCAACAAUGAAGUCAUAAAGGAUGAGUUCAAAAAGAAAAUAUGGUUGAGUGUCAACCAAGGCUUUGAUGAUAUUGAAAUGUUAAGGAGGGUUAUUAUCGAAGCUGGUGGAAACCACCAUGAUUGUGGAAAUGCAAAGGUGUCACUAGAACACACUCUAAUAGAAGCUUUGAAGGGACAAAAAACCUUAUUAAUAAUAGAUGAUGUCUGGGACAGCCGUAUAUGGGAAGGCGUGCUUAGAACUCCCUUUGUCAAUGCCAUGCUAGCUGAAGGUAGCCGUGUGCUGGUCACCACAAGGCAUGACACAGUGGCACGUCAGAUGAAGGCGGAGGAGCCCUACCAUCGUAUUGACAGACUUGGGCUUGAAGAUGCAUGGAUGCUGCUCAAGAAGCAGGUUCAAGUUAAUCCAUACAUUUAUUACUUUUCAUUAAUCAUGCGUUAUGUUUUCUAGCUGCAUCACUUUAUUUGCUUCUAUCUUAGUAGUGGGAACUAGAUUCCCUGUCUUGGCAGCAACUUCUAUUUUUCUUCUUUGUUUCAACCAUGUAGUUCUAUGGUUGUGACCUUCGAAAAAUAAGAUAAAGAAACAAAAUGACAUACUUCCUUGCGUUAGCAUUGUAAUAUCUUGCAUAUGCAGUCAUGUAGACUCCACAUAUAGUGCAGGUAUUCACUUUUUUUGUUAAAGCAAUUCAAAAUUGGACAUUGUAUUACACUCCCUCCUUUUUUUAAAAGAACUUGAGAUCUGUAGGUUCGAUUGGAUCUGUAAUUGGCUGUAAUGUAGGCAAUAUGAAAUGGCGAAUUAGUAACUAAUUUAAAUUCACAAACUAAGGAAACCAUAAUAAGUAUGUUUAUCACUAUUCUUUUUAGAGUAAAAUAAAAAAAAGGUCUUUGAAGUUAUUCUGUAUGAUGUUGUCUGAUCCUCAAACUCUCAAAAUGCUUGCAUUGUGAGGUUAUAGAAAUUGUCCUUGUAUGGAAUGUAAGUCCCAAGCCCUUAUAAUGCUACUUUCAUCCACAGGACUUGUCACGUGUUGUCAUCUAGUCUUGUUCUUAAUGAGCCCUAACACACUAUACACCCUCAUGUGGCAUGUCACAAUUGAUCCAUUUGUGGUUCAGUAUUGAUGAGUAGUCUAACACGAGGUUAUGUAUAUCACACAUAUUGGGCUGUUGCACUAUAUCCGAGCGAAGAGAGAGAGAGGGGGAACUCGGGAUGGUGGUCCAAAGGCCAACAUAUAUGUGUGGUGCCCAUAGAUAGAAUCGACUAGUACAGAUAUUAUGAGACAUAUAGGUAGCAUUUGGUUAGGAGAUAAGGUGGGAUGGAAGAAUGAUCUUGUCUCUGGUUGGAGGGAUGCAGUGACCCUAUUUUCUUUUUGGUUGGAAAGCGAUGGGACCAAUUUGUUUUCUAUUUGGUCUUAGAUAUAAUAACUCAAAUCAUGUGGGUCCCAUUUGGCAGUUUUAAUUCUCUUUUUCUUCCUCCUCUCCUUACCUUGUUCACGAACUGUAGCCACCCAAAGGACUCGCAAGUGCGACACCCUCUGCCUCCUCCCGUUGAGUCGGCCAUGGCUUAUGCCACCUGCUUCAUGUGUAGCCACCCAAAGGACUCGCGCACGGUGGCUCCUAAAAGGUUGCACGACGGCAGCCUCUGAGCUCACGCGUGGAGGCUCCUCUUAUCUCGGCACAGUGGUGCCCCCCCAAGGUCAUGCAAGGCGGCAAUCUCCCGAGCUCGCGCGAUGGUGGCCCCCUGUGCUCCUCGUCUUCAUUGACCUCCCGUAUGUGCA
rnacentral:lncRNA from 1 species